GAUUGGCUCAGUUGGUUAGAGCAUGGUGCUGAUAACACCAAUGUCACUGGUUCAAUCCCUGAAUUGGACA